GGUAAAAUGGCUGAGAAUAAGCAAUAAAUUGUAAAUUUAUUUACGAAUAGAUAAUUCUUUUACCA
rnacentral:tRNA from 1 species